rnacentral:rRNA from 1 species
UACGAAGGGGGCUAGCGUUGCUCGGAAUCACUGGGCGUAAAGCGCACGUAGGCGGACUCUUAAGUCGGUGGUGAAAUCCUGGAGCUCAACUCCAGAACUGCCUCCGAUACUGGGAGUCUUGAGUCCGGGAGAGGUGAGUGGAACUGCGAGUGUAGAGGUGAAAUUCGUAGAUAUUCGGAAGAACACCAGUGGCGAAGGCGACUUACUGGACACAUAUUGACGCUGAGGUGCGAAAGCGUGGGGAGCAAACAGG